GGACUUGGAAAUCGAAUCUGUGCUCUGUGAGAGAUCCUAGGAAAGGAAACUGGGAGCCCGGGAGAACUAAAAUUCCCAAUUAAAAGUGAAUUUAAAUCUGAGCUGUUCUUAGACCCAGAAUUUCUUGCCUGAAGGAGGAAUCAGGUCCCCACAAGGAAAGACCCUGCAACUGUAUAAAAAAAGAAUCUAAAAAGAUCAUGACUCCUUCAGUCCUUUCCCAAAGAGACCUAUGGAAAUUUCCUCAGGUGUUUCCAGUGUUAGAAUAUGCAGGAAUUCAUGGAGAGUGGCAAGUGACAUGACUGGAAAACCCCUC
rnacentral:lncRNA from 1 species